GAUGAACGCUGGCGGCGUGCCUAAUACAUGCAAGUCGAGCGAACAGACGAGGAGCUUGCUUCUCUGACGUUAGCGGCGGACGGGUGAGUAACACGUGGAUAACCUACCUAUAAGACUGGGAUAACUUCGGGAAACCGGAGCUAAUACCGGAUAAUAUAUUGAACCGCAUGGUUCAAUAGUGAAAGACGGCUUUGCUGUCACUUAUAGAUGGAUCCGCGCCGCAUUAGCUAGUUGGUAAGGUAACGGCUUACCAAGGCUACGAGGCGUAGCCGACCUGAGAGGGUGAUCGGCCACACUGGAACUGAGACACGGUCCAGACUCCUACGGGAGGCAGCAGUAGGGAAUCUUCCGCAAUGGGCGAAAGCCUGACGGAGCAACGCCGCGUGAGUGAUGAAGGUCUUCGGAUCGUAAAACUCUGUUAUUAGGGAAGAACAAAUGUGUAAGUAACUAUGCACGUCUUGACGGUACCUAAUCAGAAAGCCACGGCUAACUACGUG
rnacentral:rRNA from 1 species